rnacentral:tRNA from 1 species
UAAAGCAAGGCACUGAAAAUGCCUAGAUGAGUGUACCAACUCCAUAAACA